rnacentral:lncRNA from 1 species
GAGAUCCAGCACUUACUAUUGCCAGGCCCUGUUUUAAAAGCUUUACAUGUAUUUGCACAUUUACUGCUCACAACCACCUUAUGGGGAAGGUGCUAGGCAGGCAGGGAGGAGGAAAUGGAAAGGGAAAGGAAAAGGGAAAAGAGCGGGGGAAGAAAGGAGCAAGAAAAAGUCAAUGCAAUUCGGCAAUUAUUUGUUAAGUGCUAACUGUAUGUCAGGGUCUGGUAAUCAACAGAACAGAGGAGGGUAUAAUGAAGAGGGGAUAUAGGUAGAGAAAAGAGGAUGAGUGGGAAGAGGAGGAGGUUGGAGAGGAGGAAAGGAAAGGAGAAAUAAUGAAGACAAGAGAAAAGCAAGCCAUGCACAUGGAGGGCAAUGGUAAGAGGAGAAACCUUUGCCACAACCUCAAGGGUUGGCCGCACUGUCUGGGCUGAGGCAGAGGCUGCUUUCUCCUGGCCCAGUCUUUUACCCAUUGUUACCACGAGGUUGGCACAGCUUCCACACAGUCCUUUAAUAAGCCAGCUCUGACCCUGGCGACAUUUGGCCUGGUACAGCUCAAGGCAGGUAGCCUACACCCUGGCCUAGCCAGGCCUUUCCCUAGCUCACAAAGGUCAACUUCAUAACGUGGAGCGUGAGCUUUUACCAUGUUCUCAGAGAAUCUGCCUCUUAGUAUUUCUUUUUCUAAAGGCUUCAUUGACCCAUGUAUCCCUAUUGAGUCUUCAAGCACUAUUUGACAGAAGGGCUUGUUUUUAUCUGACUGCUCCCUGCAAUAUUACUUUUCCACUAAGUUUGCCAGAGGUACCCCUUUCUAACAUUUGCUACCUGUUCGGAUGGUCACCUCAUGUCACAUUUUUCUCUUCCUGUUCCGCCCACCCUCAGCCCUUGUCGGAAAGGACCCUUUCGGCCUCUCUAAUCACCAGAAGGGACUGCCAGGGCCUUGUGCUGAUGACACUCCCACCCUCCGUCAGCCUCCUCCACUAGCUGAUAAAUGGCACCAGCCAUGCUGUCUCUCUGGUUUUUAGGGGUCCCAAGCAAGGUACAUGAAGGGCAAGGAUUCUCUGUACGCCCAGGGUAAGAUGGAUUCCGCAUAAUUUGGUGUUAAUGUGACAUUUGUGUUGUAGAAUAACAUACGAGUCCGGGUCUCUCUCCCUCCACGCCUGGCUUGAGCGUUAAUAUUUCUGCUGCGAAAUUAAGAUAAAACCUGUAAGACUUACUUGCUGAUCUUCAGUAUUUUAUAACAAAUACCAAUUCGUUUUCCCAGGAAAGCGGCGUUAUGACAGGAAGCAGAGUGGCUAUGGUGGGCAAACUAAGCCGAUUUUCCGGAAAAAGGUGAGUGGUAGUUACUAUUUGACGUUUCCCAGUUAAUUGCCGUAAGGAUAUGCACUUGUCUCUAGUCCACACACUUCAUGAUAUAGGUAUAGCGUUAGUUUAGCGAAGUUUUCACUGCACUGAUAUAUCUAGUAGGUGAUGGAGCUGGGAAUGCAACUCAUGUCUGACUAGUCCACAAUACUGCACUAGGUUAUUGGUUAUCAUGUGAGUAGACACAUUUCAGGCUAAUAGGGAGAAGUCAGUAACACAUUCAUAGUGAAUAUGAGAUGUCUUUGCUAAGAGUUAAGUGUCAGAUCUUUGUUAUAACAGUUAAUUUAAUAAAGAAUUUUGGCAUUAAGUAGAUAUAUUUAUACCAAAAUAACUACAAAGAAUAGGUUUUCUAGUGUAUGAAACCCCCCAGUGGAGUUUUUUUUUUUUUUUUGAGACCUCAGGUGAUCUGCCCGCCUCAGCCUCCCAAAGUCCUAUUUGUGCUUCAUCAUAAUUAAGAAAAAAAAAUGUUUAUGGAUCCCUGGGCAGAUUAGUCUGUUUCAUUUAACCAUUUGGCCUCCAACCAAUAGAACUGAUCAACUAGUCCCUCUUUGAUACUAUGCUUACACUCCACUCAGAGGGUCAUGGCAAGUAUAAUGUAUAUUUGCAUUUACAUCUUUAAUAAUGACAUUCGGUGCUCCUGUAGGACCAUAAUGGCGGCCGCGGCCGGGCUGGGGCUUCAGCGGGAGGCAGCAGAGGGGAAGUGGUCAGCGUGGCGAAUGACGGAAGGUGGCGAGGGAGAGGAAGAGGGGUCGGGUGUCCGCGGAGCUCCAAGAGGGAAGACAAUCGCUUUGCCAAACACGGCAGGGCAUCUGGAAAGGCCUGGGAACCUCACCCGCCCUCCCAGGCCCUUCGGGCUCUUUUCGGUCCCAUUAGGAGGAGGGGGAGGGCGGCAGGUGGGACCGGGCACAGGCCUAGUCGUGCGACAGGAGAAGGGAAGGAAGGGCCGGCCCCAGCUGGGUCCUCCUUGCGUCUGGCCUGUGCCGGACGCCCCCGACUCCGAGUGAUCUCGGGCCGGUCCCCGGGGGAGUCCAGCUUCUCGCGCCAGGGGAGUUCUCAGCCCCAGGGCAGUCCAGGGAUUAGGCGGAAGGGGGCACGCAGCCACCUGGCCGGGGCAGGGGGAGCUGCGAGGAGCCUUUUUUUUUUUUUUUUUUCCUGCGCAGAGCCCCUUGCGUGACACACAGUAGGCGCUCAAUACAUGUUUAUUUUCAGUUGAGUGUUGCUUCAGCUUUUAUGGCUUGUGAUAAAUCCUUAUCCUUCUGUUCUAGAAACUCGCAUUGUCUACUGGAUCAAGGACAGACAGCUCACCAACCGUGACAGCACCAUACUGGAACUUCAAAAAGUUCUGAAAACAUGUUGGUUCGUUUGUUGGAGUAUUUUUCAACUUAAAUUCCUUUUCCUUUUUUUUUUUUUUGCUCACUUUUUCCUCUGCAGAAAAACCUUAAAAUGUUCUACCUUUUCCUUGAAACCUCCUCCCACUCCUUAGUUCACAUUGACUUGUCUUUAAAUGUUUUUGAGAAAAUAAUCAGAAAUGCACAAUUAGUGCUUGGUGGUUCUCAAAUUAUUUCACGCGUGGUAGUUUUGAUUUUUGCUUUUCCAGUGAGGCUGUACCUUUCAUCCUUAGGCAAAUAUGAUGGCUUUCAAAAGCAGCUAUGGGGUGGGAACUGGGAGUGGCUGCAAAUGGGCAUGGAGCGUCUUUUAGAGAUAACGAAAAUGUCCCAACUUAGAUUGUGGUGAUAGUUCGCACAACUCUAUAAAUUACUAAAAACUAUUGAAUUUGCACUUGAAAAGGGGGAGAACUUUAUGAAAUAUAAAUUAUAACUCAAAGAAGCUCUUAAAAUGCCUAUGGAAUAAUAAGUAAAGAGUAGUGGGGAUAUGAUCUAUUUUGUGGGGAGACUAGCAGCAAAGUAAGACAUAAAGAUAAAGAAACAUACACUGGCCUGAGGAAGUAACAAAGUCUCUUUGAGCAAACUUUGGACAGGCUCCUCUCAGCUUUCUUUUCAACUACACCUUGUCCUUGGGCCCUGUCCUCGGCCUGCCUAGCCCAGUUUUAGCAAGAGUCCUGCUGAGUAACUCCCUCACCCUUGAUACCUGAUCACCUUGUCCUGCCUUGAGCGAGAAUCCUGUUUAGUCAGUUGAGCAAGAAUCCCCCUACCCUUGAUAUCUCUCUCCCCUUAGGAAUUUUCUUUCUACUGACUCCCUCACUCUGCUGCUUGACUGUAAAUCCACACUUGUCCUAGUUGUCUUUGGAUUGAGCUUAGUUCUAUACUGAAGUCUCUUUUCCUCUAUUAUAAUAGUACUCAAAAUAUGGCUUUACUGCUUUUGACUAGUAUCUGGCUCUGUUUCCCAUUGGCGGAAGGCACUCUCAGACAGUGCUUCUAGUAGUAUAUAUUAGCAUGACCUGCCAGGGUACAAUUCUUUUUAAAAAGACCACCAAUUGGCUGGAUGCAGUGGCUCACGCCUGUAAUCCCAGCACUCUGGGAGGCCGAGGCGGGUGGAUCAGGUCAGGAGUUCGAGACGAGCCUGGCCAACAUGGUGAAACCCCCAUCUCUACUAGAAAUACAAAAAUUAGCUGGGCAUGGUGGUGUGCGCCUGUAAUCCCAGCUACUUGGGAGGCUGAGGCAGGAGAAUCACUUGAAUGCAGGAGGCGGAGGUUGCAAUGAGCCAAGAUUGUGCCACUGCACUCCAGCUUGGGUGACAGAGUGGGCCUCCGUCUCAAAAAAAAACAAAAACAAAAAAAAGACCACCAAUUUAUUGCCAGGCAUUGUACUGGGUGCUGAGGAAAUUUGAGGAAAAACACCUAUUAAGUUCCUGUCCUCAAGGAGCUCAUAGUACAGUGGGGAGCCAAGUAGCAAGCAAAUAGCCAUGCAAGUGUAUAAUUGCAAUGAGGACAAGUAUCAUGAAAAGGAGGGUACAUGGUGCAAUGAGAGCCUAUAAAAUAGGGGUAUUCGACUAGUCAAGGUGGUCAGGAAUUGCUUCAAAGAAGCAGUUAUUGAGCUGAGAGUUAAAGGAAGAAUAGUGGCUAAUUAGAUUGGAGGUGAGAGUUGGAGGAGCUGGUUUGAGGCUAUGUGUUCAGAGAUGGCAUGGUGAGUAAAAGAGACUGAAUGAAAGUGGCUGGAGUUCAACAGGCAGUUGGGACAGCAGUGUGUUGGGUCAGGGCAUGCAGGGCCUUACAAGCCAUCUUAAGCCAUUCAGUCUAUAUCCUAAGAGCCAUUGGAAGCCCUGUGGGAUGGGGAGAACGAAUCAGAUUUGUCUUUGAAAAUAUUGCCCUGGGGGCCAGGCACAGUGGCUCAUGCCUGUAAUCCCAGCACUUUGGGAGGCUGAGGCAGGUGGAUCACCUGAGGUCGGGCAUUCGAGACCAGCCUGGCCAACCAACAUGGUGAAACCCCGUCUCUACUAAAAAUACAAAAAGUUAGCCGGGCAUGGUGGUGCAUGCUUGUAAUCCCAGCUACUCGGGAGGGUGAGGCAGGAGAAUCGCUUGAACCCGGGAGGCAGAGGUUGUGGUGAGCUGAGAUCGCGCCAUUGCACACCAGCCUGGGCAACAAGAGCAAAACUCUGUCUCAAAAAAAAAAAAAAAAAAAAAGAAAGGAAAAGAAAAUAUUGCCCUGGCUACAGUGUGGAUAAAGGAUUGGGAAGGAGUCAGAAUGUAUGGAGAGUUUUAUUAGAAGCCAUUUCAACAAUCUAGAGUAGAGGUAAUAGUAGCUUGUACUACAAUAGCCAUGGUUUACAUGGAGGGGAUUGGUAUAUUUUAGGGUUUCUUAGGAGGUAAAAUCUGCAGGACUUGGCAAUGGAUUGGAAUUGGGAGGGAGGGAGUGUGAUAUUGUGAAGUACACAUUUAGUCUUUAGUUUGUUUUGUGCUGCUAUAACAAUACCCGAUAGUGGGUAAUUUAUAAACAGAAAUUUAUUGCCUUACAGUUCUGGAAGAUAGGAAGUCUAAGGUUAAGGUGUGGGCAGGUUUGGUGUCUGGUGAGGCCAUUCUCUUUUUCCAAGAUGGUCCCUGCACACACUGUGUCCUCCAGAGGGGAGGAAGGCUAGAUCAUGACAUGGCAGAAGACAGAAAGAAGGGCCAAGAGAUAGAGCAAGAGGAGACCGAUCUUGCCCUUUUAUAAUGGCAUUAAUCCCACCUGUGAGGGUAGAGCCCUCAUGGCUUAAUCACCUCUUAAAAGUCUCACCUCUUAAUACUAUUACUGCAACCGCCCAGUGGGUUCACCUUGCCUGCUGCCUAGACAGAGAUUUAUCAAGACAGGAGAGUUGAAAUGAAGAAAGAGUAAUUCACACACAGCCGGCUGUGCAGGAGACCAGAGUUUUGUUAUUACUUAAAUCAGUCUCCCAGAGCAUUUGGGGGAUCAGUUAUUAUUAUUAUUAUUAUUAUUAUUAUUAUUAUUAUUAUUUGAGACAGAGUCUUGCUCUGUUGCCCAGGCUGGAGUGCAAUGAUGUGAUUUCGGCUCACUGCAACCUCUGCCUCCCGGGUUCAAGCGAUUCUCCUGCCUCAGCCUCCCGAGUAGCUGGGAUUACAGGUGCCCGCCACUAUGCCAGGCCAAUUUUUGUAUUUUUUAGUAGAGAUGGGGUUUCACCAUGUUGGCCAGGCUGGUCUCGAACUCCUGACUUCAGGUGAUCCACCCGCCUCAGCCUCCCAAAGUGCUGGGAUUACAGGCGUGAGCCACCGUGCCUGGCUGGGAUCAGAGUUUUUAAAGAUAACUUGGUGGGUAGGGGCUUGGGAAGUACGGAGUGCUGAUCAGUCAGGUUGGAGAUGGAAUCAUAGGGGGUCGAAGUGAGUCUUUCUUGCAGUUUUGUGUUCUGGGUGGGAUGGCAGAACUGGUUGAGCCAGAUUACAGGUCUGGGUGGUGUCAGCUGCUCCAUCGAGUUCAGGGUCUGAAAAGUAUCUCAGGCACUGAUCUUAGGUUUCACAAUAGUGAUGUUAUCCCCAGGAGCAAUUUGGGGAGGUUCAGACUCUUGGAGCCAGAGGCUGCAUGACCCCUAAACUGUAAUUUCUAAUCUUGU